CAACAUAUUAUACAUUUUAUCAUCUUCCUAAUAAAGAUCCAGUUGGACUGAGUAACAAGAUUGUUCAAGGAUAUCUUCUCAAGUGGUCAAUGAAGGAAUGUUUACAUGUGCAGUAUUACGCGUUCAAUCAAGAGUUUAUACCAGAUGACAUUGACCAGUUUGCAUUGGAUUUCUUUCGGGACUACAAUGUAGCAAAAAACAUACAAGCAAGUUUUAGCCAAUUUGUCGG